rnacentral:rRNA from 1 species
AUUGAACGCUGGCGGCAUGUCUUACACAUGCAAGUCGAACGGCAGCGGGGGAGAAGCUUGCUUUUCCUGCCGGCGAGUGGCGAACGGGUGAGUAAUACAUCGGAACGUGCCCUGUAGUGGGGGAUAACUAGUCGAAAGAUUAGCUAAUACCGCAUACGACCUGAGGGUGAAAGUGGGGGACCGUAAGGCCUCAUGCUAUAGGAGCGGCCGAUGUCUGAUUAGCUAGUUGGUGGGGUAAAGGCCUACCAAGGCGACGAUCAGUAGCUGGUCUGAGAGGACGAUCAGCCACACUGGGACUGAGACACGGCCCAGACUCCUACGGGAGGCAGCAGUGGGGAAUUUUGGACAAUGGGCGAAAGCCUGAUCCAGCAAUGCCGCGUGUGUGAAGAAGGCCUUCGGGUUGUAAAGCACUUUUGUCCGGAAAGAAAUGGCUCUGGUUAAUACCUGGGGUCGAUGACGGUACCGGAAGAAUAAGGACCGGCUAACUACGUGCCAGCAGCCGCCGUAA